GAUGAAGAACGCAGCGAAAUGCGAUACGUAAUGUGAAUUGCAGAAUUCAGUGAAUCAUCGAGUCUUUGAACGCACAUUGCGCCCGCCAGCAUUCUGGCGGGCAUGUCUGUUCGAGCGUCAUUUCAACCCUCGACCUCCCUUUGGGGAAGUCGGCGUUGGGGACCGGCAGCACACCGCCGGCCCUGAAAUGGAGUGGCGGCCCGUCCGCGGCGACCUCUGCGUAGUAAACCAACUCGCACCGGAACCCCGACGUGGCCACGCCGUAAAACACCCAACUUCUGAACGUUGACCUCGAAUCAGGUAGGACUACCCGCUGAACUUAAGCAUAUCAAUAAGGGAGGA
rnacentral:misc_RNA from 1 species